UACGGGGGGAGCAAGCGUUGUUCGGAUUUACUGGGCGUAAAGGGCGCGUCGGCGGCCUCCGCAAGUCAGUUGUGAAAUCUCCGAGCUUAACUCGGAAAGGUCAACUGAUACUGCGGGGCUAGAGUGCGGAAGGGGCAACUGGAAUUCUUGGUGUAGCGGUGAAAUGCGUAGAUAUCAAGAGGAACACCUGCGGCGAAGGCGGGUGGCUGGGCCGACACUGACGCUGAGGCGCGAAAGCCAGGGGAGCGAACGGG
rnacentral:rRNA from 1 species